rnacentral:lncRNA from 1 species
UAGCACAGAUAACCUGAUAUAAAAGCAAAAGCUUAUUAGAUUCAUAAGGCACAGACUUGAAGGAACAUUUUCAUAAUAGAUGCUUCUAAAAGCUCUAUCAUUUGUUUUACUUUAAAAUGCACACUACAUAACAACCUAAUAUCUUAACUUGGUCCAACUAUUUAGUAUAACUAAUAUGAGUUUUUAUACUGAUAACUUGCAAUGCCAUUAAAACCCAAGAAGGUAAAGAGAAGCUCAGCAUGGCAGGCACUUUCUUGUAUGACUUGGCAUUCUCAUGUAAGAGAGCCAGAAUCAACUGCAGUCAGCCCACGAUGUGCUGCCACUGUUCUCUGUUUUUGCUACUGAGGUGUGGGGGGUGUUGCUCACACAGUCAUGAUAUCCAGGUCAGUGAUCACAAGCAACGUGUUGCUCAGGAGCUCCAGGGUGUUCCCAGGGCUCCUCAGAGGUCACUGCUGCUAGUUCCUCCAAUGGUUCAGGAACAAUACGUUCUUACCUGCUCCACUGCUUAUCAUCAGUUUUCCCAAUAGCACCAGCUGAUCACACAUCAACUCCUUCUAUUCAUCAGCUGAUUUAAAGUCAAAGCUUGUACAAUUUUAAUGGAAACUCAUGUGGGUAAAAGUCUGA